rnacentral:rRNA from 1 species
GCUAAAAAUCUAGCCCAUCCCUGUUAUUAAUUUACCCUCUUACUUCACCCCCCUUCCCUAAAACAUUUUUACAAUCUAGUAAAGGUGAUAAAAAAAUUUUUUGGAGCAACACUGAUAGUACCGAAAGGGAAAAAUGAAAUAGAAAUGAAAUAAACAAUUAAGCACAAAAAAGUAAAGAUUUAACCUUGUACCUUUUGUAUUAUGGCUUAGUUAGUCUUAAUCAAGCAAAAUGAAUUUUAGUUUGACUUCCCGAAACUAGGCGAGCUACUCCAAGGCAACUUUAAGAGCCAACCCGUCUCUGUUGCAAAAGAGUGGGAAGACCUUCGAGUAGAGGUGACAGACCAACCGAGCCUAGAGAUAGCUGGUUACCCAAUAAAAGAAUUUUAGUUCAACCUAAAGCUAAUCAGUGAAUAUAAACAUCUGCUUUAGAGCUAUUCAAAUAAGGUACAGCUUAUUUGAAACAGGAUACAACCUAGGCUAACGGGUUAUUCUUCUAGCAACGCACCAAAGUAGGCCUAAAAGCAGCCAUCUUUUAGAUAGCGUCAAAGCUUACCUGCCCAUGCACUUAAUUUCUAAAAAUUUUCCUAACCCUUUUUCAACACUGGGUAAUUUUAUAAUCUUAUAAAACUUAUUAUGUUAAGACUAGUAACAAGAAGUAAACCCUUCUCUUUAAUGCAAGUGUAAGCCAGAAGGAUAACCCACUGUCAAUUAACACAUAUGAGACUUAAUUAGUAACACCACGAGAAAAUCCUUAUAUUUAUAGUGUUAAUCUAACACAAGAGCAUUUCAAGAAAGAUUUAAAAUAAAGGAAGGAACUCAGCAAAUAUCAACCCCGCCUGUUUACCAAAAACAUCGCCUCUUGAACUUUAAUAAGAGGUCCAGCCUGCCCAGUGACCUAAUUCAACGGCCGCGGUAUCCUAACCGUGCGAAGGUAGCGUAAUCACUUGUUCUUUAAUUGAGGACUAGUAUGAAUGGCACCACGAGAGUUGUACUGUCUCCCUUUUUUAAUCAGUGAAACUAAUCCCCCCGUGAAGAAGCGGGAAUUUUUAUGUAAGACGAGAAGACCCUAUGGAGCUUUAAACUGACCACCACCUGCUGCCCUAUAAAUCUCACAUAAAGCAAAGUAGGAUGUUAACAUGUUUUCGAUUGGGGUGAUCACGGAGCAAAAAAUAACCUCCACGAUAGACAGGCCUAAACCCUGAGCAACAAGCCACAACUUUCAGCACUAUAAAAUUAAUAUUUCUUGACCCAAUAAUUUGAUCAACGAACCAAGUUACCCUAGGGAUAACAGCGCAAUCUACUUCAAGAGCCCCUAUCGACAAGUAGGUUUACGACCUCGAUGUUGGAUUAGGGUGUCCUAGUGGUGCAGCCGCUACUAAGGGUUCGUUUGUUCAACGAUUAAAACCCU